rnacentral:rRNA from 1 species
CGCGUAGGCGGUGGAACAAGUCACAUGUGAAAUACCAGGGCUUAACUCUGGGGGGUCAUGUGAAACUGUUUUACUUGAGUGCAGUAGAGGGAAGCGGAAUUCCUGGUGUAGCGGUAAAAAUGCGUAGAGAUCAGGAGGAACACCCGUGGCGAAGGCGGCUUCCUGGCCAUAUCCUGACGCUGAGGUGCGAAAGCCAGGGGAGCGAACGGGAUUAGGUACCCCGGUAGUCCUGGCCGUAAACGAUGGAUACUAGGUGUUAGAGGUAUCGACCCCUCUAGUGCCGCAGCUAACGCAUUAAGUAUCCCGCCGUGGGGAGUACGACCGCAAGGUUGAA